AAGGUAGCGAAAUUCCUUGUCGGGUAAGUUCCGACCUGCACGAAUGGCGUAACGAUCUCCACACUGUCUCGGCCAGAGACUCGGUGAAAUUGAAGUCGCGGUGAAAAUGCCGUGUACCCGCAGAAAGACGGAAAGACCCUGUGCACCUUUACUAUAGCUUGACAUUGGGAUUUGAACCUGCAUGUGUAGGAUAGGUGGGAGGCUGUGAACUCUGUACGCCAGUAUGGAGGGAGCCAUUGUUGAAAUACCACCCUUGUUUUUUCAGGUCCCUAACCCUCAGCCGUAAGCCGGCGAGGGAACAGUGUCUGGUGGGUAGUUUGACUGGGGCGGUCGCCUCCUAAAAUGUAACGGAGGCAUGCAAAGGUUCCCUCAGGCUGAUUGGAAACCAGCCGUCGAGUGCAAACGCAUAAGGGAGCUUGACUGCGAGAGAGACAUCUCGAGCAGGUACGAAAGUAGGUGUUAGUGAUCCGGUGGUCCCGAAUGGAAGGGCCAUCGCUCAUUGGAUAAAAGGUACGCCGGGGAUAACAGGCUGAUCGCAUCCAAGAGUUCACAUCGACGAUGCGGUUUGGCACCUCGAUGUCGGCUCAUCACAUCCUGGGGCUGAAGCAGGUCCCAAGGGUACGGCUGUUCGCCGUUUAAAGUGGUACGCGAGCUGGGUUUAAAACGUCGUGAGACAGUUUGGUCCCUAUCUUCUGUGGGCGCUGGAGAAUUGAAAGGGCCUGUCCCUAGUACGAGAGGACCGGGAUGGACGCACCCCUGGUGGACCUGUUGUCGUGCCAACGGCAUAGCAGGGUAGCUAUGUGCGGAAGGGAUAACCGCUGAAAGCAUCUAAGCGGGAAGCCUGCCUCAAGAUAAGUUCUCCCCUCGAAAGAGCUGAAGGGCCCGGGUAGACUACCCGGUCGAUAGGCUGGAGGUGUAAGCGCGGCGACGUGCUCAGCUGACCAGUACUAAUAGCCCGAGCGGCUUAUUUUU
rnacentral:rRNA from 1 species